rnacentral:tRNA from 1 species
UGCGCGACGGCCGGGGCCGAAGCCGCGGCGGCCUGCGGCGCCGGCAGCGCGGCCGGCUUGCGCAGCACCGGUUCGGCGGCGGCCUGCGCGA